rnacentral:rRNA from 1 species
AGAAUCAACGCUGGCGGCGUGCCUAACACAUGCAAGUCGAACGAGAAAGUGGAGCAAUCCAUGAGUAAAGUGGCGCACGGGUGAGUAACACGUGACUAACCUACCUUUUAGUGGGGGAUAACCUAGGGAAACCUGGGCUAAUACCGCAUAAUACCUACGGGUCAAAGCAGCAAUGCGCUGAAAGAGGGGGUCGCGGUCGAUUAGUUAGUUGGCAGGGUAAUGGCCUACCAAGACUGUGAUCGAUAUCCGGCCUGAGAGGGCGCACGGACACACUGGAACUGAAACACGGUCCAGACUCCUACGGGAGGCAGCAGUGGGAAUUUUGCGCAAUGGGGGAAACCCUGACGCAGCAACGCCGCGUGGAGGAUGAAGUCCCUUGGGACGUAAACUCCUUUCGAUCGGGACGAUAAUGACGGUACCGGAAGAAGAAGCCCCGGCUAACUUCGCGCCAGCAGCCGC